AUAGAUGCGUUUUGCAUAUAGACCUUAUCGAAGUGCUAAAGAUGCCUGUCAAUAUAUUUGAUUUCUUUUAAGUAGACAGCGAGGCAACCCUAGAUGAAUUUUCGAAAGAGAUAUCAAGGGUUUCUUUGAUAAUAUAUGCCAUGAGUGAAUAUUAGAAAAUAUUCCUAUGGAUAAAAAGAUAUUGUCAAAAAUGUUAAAAGCUGGCGUUAUGAAUGAAGGCAGUUAUCAAGAUACUGAAGAAGGUAUUCCACAGGGUGGUGUAAUAUCUCCUAUUAUAGCUAAUUUAUGCCUUGAUGGUUUAGAUAAAACUAUAAAAAGGGCGUCUAAUAAUAAAGCAACUCUUGUGAGAUAUGCGGAUGAUUUCAUUAUAGUGUCCCAGAACUAUGAUAUUUUAGAUAAGUUAAUUCUAGAUGUUAACAAAUUUCUAAAAAUAAGAGGUUUAGAAUUAAAUAUGGAAAAAAGUAAAAUCACUAAAAUUGAAAAUGGAUUUGAUUUUGUAGGUUUCCACUUUAGGGAAUUCUCGGAUUCUACUCGAGAAAUCGGGGAAAAGAAAGGGAUUUUUCUAUACAAACCUACAAAAGAAAGCUUACAAAAAGUAAAAGCUAAAAUAAAACUUUGUGUCAAAGAACAUUCGCAACUUCCUCUGUGAAUGCUUUUCUCAAAACUAAAUCCAAUAUUAAGGGGCUGAGCAAAUUAUUACUCGUCUAGUACUGCAAAGUUAGCUUAUACCCGAAUAAGUAAAUACGUUUUUGAUUCCAUUCAUCGCAUGAUAAAAAUUAAGCAUCCAAAGCUUAAUGCUAAAGCGCUUAAAUCCAAAUUUUAUCACAAAGUGAAUAAUAGAGAUUGAUUAAUGUCUACUAGCACUGAAUUUAAAAGAUUUAAGAAAAUUAAUUUGUUUCAAAUAUCCGACACUCCUAUUAAAAGAACUACUAUGAUAAAACUUGACGCUAAUUCCUAUUUGGGUGAGUUUGAGGAGUAUUUUAAUAAAAGAUCUUUGAAUAUGUGUUUUAAUCAGCAAACGAAUAAUAUUCGAUUAAAGCUGGCAAAAAGACAAAAAGGUAUGUGCCCUAUAUGUAAAGAAUCUUUAAAUAGUCAAUAUGGAGAUAUAUUGUACGAAUUAGAAAUUCACCAUAUCAUACCUGUGGUGAGUGGAGGUAAAAAUAUAUUAAAAAAUAUGACUCUUCUUCAUAAAACGUGUCAUCGCGACAGAGCUGCGUUAGAAAAUUAUACUUAAGGAACUCGGCAAAUUUGCUCCGUACGUUCGCAACAAGGAGUACCUUAAAGGAUUCAAAAAUUAGGGGUAGCGACUGUUUAACAAAAACUCAAAACUUUGCAAAUUCGAAAGAAGACGUAUAAGGUUUGACGCCUGCCCAGUGCUUGAAAGCGAAAAAUACACGUUAACGCUUGUAUCAUAAACUCAAGUAAACGGCGGUCUUAACUAUAAGGAUCCUCAGGUAGCGAAAUUCCUUGGCGGGUAAAUUCCGUCCUGCAUGAAUGGCGUCACGACUACCCCACUGUCUCUAGUAUAAACUCAGCGAAAUUACAUUGUCUGUGAAAAUGCAGACAUCCUACAACAAGACGGAAAGACCCUAUGAUUCUUAACUAUAAUUUUACGUCGCAAUAAUUUUGUGUACAGUACAGUAAAAGUAGGAGUAUACUUAUACAAUUUUGAAAAACUACUCUGUACAUAAGAAAUUGCUUACUGAAGAGAAAAUAUGUAAAAGUGGUAGUUUACUUGGGACGAGGACCUCCUAAACUGUAACGGAGGUGCACAAAAGUAAAUUUUAAUUAGUUUUUUGUAUUAAUAAAAUAUGUAAUGGUAAAAAUUUGCUUGACGGUAAGAGUUACAACUCAAACCGGGACGAAAGUCGGUCAUAAUGAUCCGGCAGUAAUGUAUGGAAAUACUGUCGCUUAUCGGAAAAAAGAAACUCUAGGGAUAACAGAUUUAUCAUGGCUGAGAGUUCUUAUCGACGCCAUGGUUUGAUACCUCGAUGUCGGCUCAUCUUUUCCUGGAGCUGUAACAGGUUCCAAGGGUAUGGUUGUUCGCCAAAUAAUAAGAUACGUGAGCUGGGUUCAGAACGUCGUGAGACAGUUCGGUCCCUAUCUGUUGUGGGUAAGAAAAUGUACUUCUCGUAAAUAGCUAAUCUCCACUUUAGGGAUUAAACUAAUAUUACAGGUAGGAAGCUAGUUCAUACAGAUCUAGUGGGCCUAUGCAUUACUCCUAAUGCUGAUCAAUGAGCUGUGUUACAAGCAGUGAACCCUAUGCAACGUGAAAAUAGUCAUUCACGGAGUAUAAGCAGGGCAUAAAUUUAAGUGGAUGUUACUUAUAAACAUUUUAACUCGAAGAGAAUAUAUAAAUCAGUAAAUCUGUC
rnacentral:rRNA from 1 species